ACCGGCUACCCUUUCAUUGUAACGUGAUUGAGCUUCGCUGUCAAGCACGGAAACAUAUGUACGGGUGGACUGUUAGAGUUGGAAGAACAUGAAUAUGUAUAGUAGUAGUAGUAGUUGUAGUUGUAGGAGUAGUAGUAGUAGCGGCAGGG
ensembl:ncRNA Y37A1B.335 ncRNA